rnacentral:rRNA from 1 species
AUUAAUUUGAGAGUUUGAUCCUGGCUCAGGACGAACGCUGGCGGCGUGCCUAACACAUGCAAGUCGAG